rnacentral:rRNA from 1 species
GAUGAACGCUGGCGGUCUGCUUAACACAUGCAAGUCGAACGGGUGUAGAAAUACAUUAGUGGCGGACGGGUGAGUAACGCGUGAGAAUCUGGCUUUAGGUUCGGGACAACCACUGGAAACGGUGGCUAAUACCGGAUGUGCCUUUAGGUAAAAGGUUUACCGCCUAAAGAUGAGCUCGCGUCUGAUUAGCUAGUUGGUGUGGUAAGAGCGCACCAAGGCGACGAUCAGUAGCUGGUCUGAGAGGAUGAUCAGCCACACUGGGACUGAGACACGGCCCAGACUCCUACGGGAGGCAGCAGUGGGGAAUUUUCCGCAAUGGGCGAAAGCCUGACGGAGCAAGACCGCGUGAGGGAGGAAGGCUCUUGGGUCGUAAACCUCUUUUCUAUGGGAAUAAGAAAGUGAAGGUACCAUAGGAAUCAGCAUCGGCUAACUCCGUGCCAGCAGCCGCGGUAAUACGGAGGAUGCAAGCGUUAUCCGGAAUGAUUGGGCGUAAAGAGUCCGUAGGUGGUUAUUCAAGUCGAUUGUUAAAGAGCAAAGCUUAACUUUGUAGAAGCAGUGGAAACUGAAUAACUAGAGAGAGGUAGGGGUAGAGGGAAUUCCCGGUGUAGCGGUGAAAUGCGUAGAGAUCGGGAAGAACACCAGUGGCGAAAGCGCUCUACUGGGCCUCAUCUGACACUGAGGGACGAAAGCUAGGGGAGCGAAAGGGAUUAGAUACCCCUGUAGUCCUAGCCGUAAACGAUGGAUACUAGGUGUUGUCUGUAUCGACCCGGACAGUGCCGUAGCUAACGCGUUAAGUAUCCCGCCUGGGGAGUACGCACGCAAGUGUGAAACUCAAAGGAAUUGACGGGGGCCCGC